rnacentral:misc_RNA from 1 species
GUAUGCUGGUGAGCUUUGCUAUCAUUUCUUAUCCUAUCGGCAUACAUGGGCAGGCGAAUGAUCUCAUAAAUCUCAUUCAAUAAGAUGUCCUCUGUUAUAUUGUCCUUAAUGCUUCGCAUCACCUUCCUGUAGGUAUUAAAAUCAUUCGGCGUGGAUUUAUCUGUCCGGACCCGCAUGCAAACCCAAACCUGUUCAUCUGAAUCCCAAGAACACUCGAUGAUUUUCCCCGAGUAUGAAGAGGGAUCUGAACCAUCUCUGAAUACAACUGUAUUCCCUUCCAUCAGCUUCUUUUUCCCUCGUUCAUGAAGAUAAAGUAACUGGCGGUCAUCCGCAUCCACCUCAAAUAGAAAGUCAACUGAAUUCAUUUCUGGAUACUUCCACUUCAGAAGCCCUUCAUGAGUGCGAGGAACAUAGGGAUCAUCCCAACCCUGGAAAAUGAGACCAUCAGCAUCAUGUGAAAGCUUUGGAAUAAAUUCCUUUAAAAGCUUGGUAACAGUAGAAAGCAACCAAAAAUCCUUUCUUCUAACCCUGAAGGGCUCCAAAUCAUAUCUAUAAUAAGGAUUCCUGCUCUGAUAAAUAUGGUGCCGUUCAUAAUUCCGAGGCUCAAUCACUUCUU